rnacentral:rRNA from 1 species
UACGAAGGGGGCGAGCGUUGUUCGGAAUCACUGGGCGUAAAGGGCGCGUAGGCGGCCCUUCUUGUCGCGUGUGAAAGCCCCGGGCUCAACCUGGGAACGGCGCGCGAGACGGGAGGGCUGGAGUUCGGGAGAGGUGAGUGGAAUGCCGAGUGUAGAGGUGAAAUUCGUAGAUAUUCGGCGGAACACCAGUGGCGAAGGCGACUCACUGGCCCGAUACUGACGCUGAGGCGCGAAAGCGUGGGGAGCAAACGGG